CAGUAGCCGCGGUAAUACGAAGGGGGCUAGCGUUGUUCGGAAUUACUGGGCGUAAAGCGCACGUAGGCGGAUAUUUAAGUCAGGGGUGAAAUCCAGAGCUCAACUCUGGAACUGCCUUUGAUACUGGGUAUCUUGAGUAUGGAAGAGGUGAGUGGAAUUCCGAGUGUAGAGGUGAAAUUCGUAGAUAUUCGGAGGAACACCAGUGGCGAAGGCGGCUCACUGGUCCAUUACUGACGCUGAGGUGCGAAAGCGUGGGGAGCAAACAGGAUUAGAUACCCCCGUAGUCCCUGUCUCUUAUACA
rnacentral:rRNA from 1 species